UACGUAGGGUUCAAGCGUUGUCCGUAAUUAUUGGGCGUAAAGAGCUCGUAGGCGGUCUGUCGCGUCUGCUGUGAAAACUCAAGGCUUAACCCUGAGCUUGCAGUGGGUACGGGCAGACUAGAGUGCGGUAGGGGAGACUGGAAUUCCUGGUGUAGCGGUGAAAUGCGCAGAUAUCAGGAGGAACACCGGUGGCGAAGGCGGGUCUCUGGGCCGUAACUGACGCUGAGGAGCGAAAGCAUGGGGAGCGAACAGG
rnacentral:rRNA from 1 species